AAUCCUAACCUAAAUCCCCUCCCUCUGCUUGCUCACAGCCGCCGACGCCGGCACCACUGCCGGCGUCCCUCUCUUCUGUGGUUGAAGCCGUCGCCGGCGCUAGCGCUGCCGCCAUCACAGUCGCCAUGGCAGCCAGCACCACUGCAUUUCACGCCGCUACAGCUACAUCCGGGCCGGAGACUCCCCGUGCGGCCACACUUCCCAGCCGCGCCACCCUGCUCAACGGAAUGCGGCCAGAUCCGAGCUGCUGCUCUUAUUGGUCCCUUUUUGGCCGAGAAUACUAUUCCGGCCAAUCCAGACCUCCGGCAACCCUCCGCUGCUGAGCACGGCCACCCUGGUCAUUGGUGCUGUUCCAUGCCCCCCUAGCUGCUGGUAACGAUACCCUGAAUUGCCGUUUUCAUUAGUGCGCAUCUAGUGUUCGAUGAUUUGACCAGUUCUUCUUUUGGCCUUUUCGGGCAACCGGGUGGUCGGAUUUCGCAAGUCUUCGGAGCACGGAGAUCAGUGGGCACUCCUCUACACGGUGCUCACCUUUCUAGUAUGAUCCGGAUGCUCGGUGGAAUUGCGAAGCUAUCGGAUACUUAAAACGUCUCCGCACGGCCUAUGCGCACUCUCCGACCUUCGGCGAUCAUCUGGGUGCCCUUGGUUCUGGUUCACCACAGCAAAUGUAGAUUUUCGAUCCCUUGUCCUGUUGACUGACUCCCAAUUGCGCGAAUUUGGUGUCGCUGAUAGUGCGGGCCGGAGCGCGGUGCGAGGGCACGGUUAGUUAGCUAUUAGCGCCUAGAUAGCUUGUGCCAUGGAUCACAAUUUAUAGCUUUAGUUUUUUCUUAUCUCAGUACCUUAUGAUCUGAUUGUAGUUAUGUGAUAUUAUGUGUUUGGAGUUUAGUUGCUUUUGGGUUUUUUCUAGUGUAGUAGUUUAGUCGAUUCUAGAUUUUGGUAUUGGUUUGAUUGGUAGUUGUACAAUUAAACUAUCUUAUUUUGUUUGAUUGUGGUUCUGUA